UACGUAGGGGGCAAGCGUUGUCCGGAAUCAUUGGGCGUAAAGCGCGUGUAGGCGGCCCGGUAAGUCCGCUGUGAAAGUCGGGGGCUCAACCCUCGGAUGCCGGUGGAUACUGUCGGGCUUGAGUACGGAAGAGGCGAGUGGAAUUCCUGGUGUAGCGGUGAAAUGCGCAGAUAUCAGGAGGAACACCUAUUGCGAAGGCAGCUCGCUGGGACGUGACUGACGCUGAGACGCGAAAGCGUGGGGAGCAAACAGG
rnacentral:rRNA from 1 species